UGGGGAAUAUUCCGCAAUGGACGAAAGUCUGACGGAGCAAUGCCGCGUGAGUGAUGAAGGCCUUUGGGUCGUAAAACUCUGUCUUUGGGGAAGAAACCAUUAUGUGUUAAUACCACAUAGUAUUGACAGUACCCGAGGAGGAAGCCCCGGCUAACUACGUGCCAGCAGCCGCGGUAAUACGUAGGGGGCGAGCGUUGUACGGGAUCAUUGGGCGUAAAGGGCGUGUAGGCGGUUUUGUAAGUCAGAUGUGAAAACUUGAGGCUCAACUUCAAGCCUGCAUCUGAAACUACAUCACUUGAGUGCAGGAGGGGAAAGUGGAAUUCCAUGUGUAGCGGUGAAAUGCGUAGAUAUAUGGAAGAACACCAGUGGCGAAGGCGACUUUCUGGACUGAACCUGACGCUGAGGCGCGAAAGCCAGGGGAGCGAACG
rnacentral:rRNA from 1 species